AAGGAGAGAAGGCGGUUCCCCUUUCCUCUCUUCGGGGGACCUUUUGGUGGAGCGAUCCCUAAGAGCCUUGGGGCUGGAGAGGGCUGGAAAGGCAGCAGACUGUCCCUAUUAUCCCUAAUAGAGAGGCGAAGGAGAGAGAGGGAGAUUUGGCUUUGCUAUCCUCUGAGGCUGAGAGAGUGUGACUUGCCCAAAGUCACCCAGUGAGUUUACAUGGCUGAGCUGGGAUUUGAACUCUGGUCUCCAGAGUCAUAGACCAGUGCUCAAACCACUACGCCAUACUGACUCUCAAUUUAAGGUGUGCUGGACAGUAAAUCAGAUAUAUGUUACAUGUUACACAUAAUGGGUUUAAACCCAAAUGGUGGUUCCACUGAGUCAAUGGAAUUUACCUUAAGUGAUGAUUUACCAAGCUACAGUUAAUUUAGGCCUACUCUUACAGGAUUAACAGUAACUUUUAGUUCAAUAUUUAUAUUUUAUAUAGCUAUACUUAACAGGCACAUAUGCAUCUAUACUGCUAUAGAUAUAAUGAUGGGGGAAAGAGAGACAGAGAGAAAUAGCACUGUGCCUUUCAGCUAUAGCCCCCUCUGUAUCUACCAACUAAGGCCAGUAAAGCGAGUAGCCUAGACUUUUCUGUACACUAUGGAAAUAAGUAAUGCUUCUUUGAUAAAAAUGGAAAAUGACCCAUCUUUUAUCACUGGGGUUUUAAUGUAUCCCAGAGUAGAAAUGGUUUUCCAAAAUAAAACCAGACUAUGACAAUACUGAUUAUCUAAUAACAAAUUAAGAAAAUAAAAAUAUGAAGCUUAUUACUAUGGUCCCAAACAUAUGGGCCAAAAAAGUGGCUUCCAGCCACGUUGGAGGUGCACUGUUUAUACAACGCAUGUCUCCAAUAAGGCCGGAAGCCAGCUUGGCCCACUUUUGGAGUAGGUGGUCACAGUAGACCAAAUCCACUUGUGGAGCAGCCUCAGGCCAUAUUCUCCCACCCAUUUGCUUUGCCCCUACGUUACUGCUAUUUGUACCGUACUGUCAGUAUACAGAUAGAUAGAUAUAAGCAAAAUGGACAGGUUUUGCAAAGAGAAAAUAAUUAUUUUGCAAAAUCCUAAAUCUGUACUCAUGUGAUGCCUUCAUUAGGCCAACUGAAAGUUGGCUACUUCUACUUUUUCUUUAGUCAAUUACAGUAGGACAGAGGAAGCAUAAAAGUUUUGAAGGUGAGAACCACCAUUUCAAAUGUAACAUUUUUAUUGGUUCACAAGAAAUGAUGCCAAUAUUAUUUCCUCUGUUAUUUUGUUAUUCUUGUUGUUGCUAACAAUACUGUAAUGCUUUUUGCUAUUCUUGUUGUUGCUAAUGUUAUUGUUCCUAUAAUCUGGUACUCUAAUUAUUUCUGUGAUCUGCAGAGAAGAGCAUUCAUCAGAGUUGGAAGAGAAAGCCAGUUUGCCCACGUCUGAUGAUAUUUAGAAGUGUAUGUAUCUAAUUAGUGGAGUGCAUUUUGAUUUUAUCAAUUUAUGAGAGAUCGCUUAUCUGUCUCUAAUUUCAAUUGAAGAAAACUAAGAAUGCUCUUAACUUUUGCAUUUAAAUAAAUGGGAUUUCAG